rnacentral:rRNA from 2 species
AGUCGAACGAGUUCCCGUUGAUUGACGUGCUUGCACUGAUUUCAACAUUGGAACGAGUGGCGAACUGGUGAGUAACACGUGGAAAACCUGCCCAGAAGCAGGGGAUAACACUUGGAAACAGGUGCUAAUACCGUAUAACAACAAAAACCGCAUGGUUUUUGUUUGAAAGGUGGCUUCGGCUAUCACUUCUGGAUGGUUCCGCGGCGCAUUAGCUUGUUGGUGGGGUAACGGCUCACCAAGGCGAUGAUGCGUAGCCGACCUGAGAGGGUAAUCGGCCACAUUGGGACUGAGACACGGCCCAGACUCCUACGGGAGGCAGCAGUAGGGAAUCUUCCACAAUGGACGCAAGUCUGAUGGAGCAAUGCCGCGUGAGUGAAGAAGGGUUUCGGCUCGUAAAACUCUGUUGUUGAAGAAGAACGGGUGUCAGAGUAACUGUUGACAUCGUGACGGUAUUCAACCAGAAAGCCACGGCUAACUACGUGCCAGCAGCCGCGGUAAUACGUAGGUGGCAAGCGUUGUCCGGAUUUAUUGGGCGUAAAGCGAGCGCAGGCGGUUUCUUAAGUCUGAUGUGAAAGCCUUCGGCUUAACCGAAGAAGUGCAUCGGAAACUGGGGAACUUGAGUGCAGAAGAGGACAGUGGAACUCCAUGUGUAGCGGUGGAAUGCGUAGAUAUAUGGAAGAACACCAGUGGCGAAGGCGGCUGUCUAGUCUGCAACUGACGCUGAGGCUCGAAAGCAUGGGUAGCGAACAGGAUUAGAUACCCUGGUAGUCCAUGCCGUAAACGAUGAGUGCUAGGUGUUGGAGGGUUUCCGCCCUUCAGUGCCGCAGCUAACGCAUUAAGCACUCCGCCUGGGGAGUACGACCGCAAGGUUGAAACUCAAAGGAAUUGACGGGGGCCCGCACAAGCGGUGGAGCAUGUGGUUUAAUUCGAAGCUACGCGAAGAACCUUACCAGGUCUUGACAUCUUCUGCCAAUCUUAGAGAUAAGACGUUCCCUUCGGGGACAGAAUGACAGGUGGUGCAUGGUUGUCGUCAGCUCGUGCCGUGAGAUGUUGGGUUAAGUCCCGCAACGAGCGC